UCUCUCGUGGCGCAAUUGGCUAGCGCGUUCGACUGUUAUAUCCGGUGCACAACCGGGUCGCAGUAGAUCGAGAGGUUGGUGGUUCGAGCCCACCCGAGAGAG